rnacentral:lncRNA from 1 species
CAGGUGUGGCAACGUCCGCGAAUCUGGAGACAGAUUUGGCUCCGAAUGAGCUGUGAGUUCUCCACCACCACCACCAUGCAGGCUCUGGCGCUUGAGACCCCGGAUGCUCCCAGGGAGGGGCCCAGGGGCUGGUGUGGGUAUGGGCACAUGCCUGUGCUUCCCCGAGCAGCCAGGGCCAGAGACCGGGCUCCACAAGGCUCAGAGGGUUCAUCUGC